rnacentral:hammerhead_ribozyme from 1 species
AUCCAGAUAACCAGUCCAAAAUAGGACGAAACGCGCAUCCUGGAU